AUAGAAUUUUUACGUAGAUGACCUUCCUCCUGAGGUUUUCCCUGAGCGCUAUAAUUUGGCGGUUUUCAAGCGUCGAGUGUAUAGGCAUCUUUUUCCUAAAGGCCGGCAACGCGCCUACAACUCCUCUUGU